AGGAAAGUUCCGUGUGCUGGAAUGUGUACAAAGGACCUGAGCAGGGAAGAAGGAUUAGAAAGAACUGACCUGAUGAGCAAAUCCCGCUCCCUUUGAAGAUCUAUACCCACCUGGGCACUUUUUUUCUCCUCUGCAGACAUCCAAGUACCCUAAAUGAGAUUAGGGUAAAGGGCCAAGAGAUGACUUCUCAGUUCUCUUCCAGUAUGACUGUGUAUGUGUUUGUCGCUGGGAAUCUGAUGGCUCAGUGAAAAAGCCCCAAAACCUUCAGCGUAAGGAGGCAGCAUCCUGCAACCUGACUCCCCCAAGCUGCAUAGAGCACCUGGUCCAAUGCCUGGGGACACAGGAGGCUUGUGGAGGUGUAUGUUUUUCCUUCAUGAACCCAUGAGAGCAACAAGAACAUAGACCAUGGAGCAAAUGUCCCAGUGGUUUAGGGGAAAUGUUCAAGAAUCAUAGCCAGUGCAGUUCACCUUUGUGGACUGGAUGCCUGGAAGCAGCCACAAAGACCAGAUGGAAACCCAGACAGACAUGGAUUCUCAUAAUGGGAUUCAAGGUCAGUUGGAAAGAUACUCCCCACUACAAUGCAAGAGCCCAGAUCCCACUUUCUGAUGAAGGAACCAACCCUUGACUGCCCUCAUAAUUUGGCUGGGAAGACCUUGGAGCCAGCUGAAGAGCCAGUGGUAUAGAGUUCUCCACAUGAUGUGAUUCCAAGGGCAGGAUGGACACUAGGUAUAGUGUAGAGUAGAGAUUCUGAAUUGAACUUUGCUUUCUGGAACCAGGUGGGUGUCUUAUUAUUUGCAUGACUGGUGGUAGGCAUAUCUCUAUAUGUUUCUGGAACUUGGUUUUCUAUUCACAGUCAUUCAGCAAGCAUCCUGUGAACCCUGACUGAAUGCUAGGUGCUGAGUUAUGAGCUUGGAGAGUGGGCAGGCAGCAGAGAAAGCUAUGUGAUCUUUGGGCUAAUGGAGGUUCUAGUCCAGUGGAAAUAAACAGAUAAUUGCACAAUUAAGUACAUUAUUCCACUUUGUAAUAAAUGCUGUGAGGGAGCAGAAUAGAGUCCCA